GAACCAUGCUGGUCAUCAACCAGAGAAAGCAGAACAAGUGAAGCAGAACCUCCAGAUACCAAAGAAAACCCCAGCCUUGGGGAGGCUGCGACAGGGGGAGGAUCUCCAGUGUAAAGCCAACCUGGAGUACAUGCUGAGAUCCCAUACCAACCUCAAACAAUAAAAUACAAAUAAUGAUCACUGAAAAAAUAUGCAACUUGGAAUUAUUUUCUCUCCCAAAAUAUCAAUCAAGUGUCAGUGAUGCUUCAAACUGUUCCUCCAUGUACACAGUUCAGAGCGGAGAAAAGAUGGAGUUGCUUUAGUAGCAAAGUAAGAGCAAGGGAGAUCCAGGAAUUUUCAUGAAGACCAAAAAGCAAAGGGAAGUUACUGUGACAACUGUGAAGUGACCAAUUCCAAAUGGAAAUGAAUUACUAGAGUACAGAACAAACAAAACAAGUGGGAAGAAAAAUCCCAGCUACGGCAGGGCGUUAAACAAAAGAAUUAAUCAGCAUGGCAAUAAACAAAAGAAUCAUAGCAAUAAAUCACCAUAGCAACCAAUGCCAGAAACAACAGAACCUUGCAGGAGGAGUGUGACUGUGGCAUGCUGAAUCUGAGUCUGGAAGUAGAACCCAGUAACUGGUAAAAAGAAUUCCAUUUCCCCUGGGUGAAUCAGCAUCUCUCCACAUUGGCGCACGUACAACAGCAACUCUAGAGGCCACACAUUAGGAAGACUAGAUGGCUAAUAGUUACAUACUUCCUAUUUUCGAGCCUCUGCACCUAA